GACGAACGCUGGCGGUGUGCUUAACACAUGCAAGUCGAACGGUAAGGCCCUUUCGGGGGUCCACGAGUGGCGAACGGGUGCGUAACACGUGAGUAACCUGCCCUCAUCUCUGGGAUAACAGUCGGAAACGGUUGCUAAUACUGGAUAUGAGCUUGCAAGGCAUCUUGUGGGUUGGAAAGAUUUUUUUGGUUGGGGAUGGACUCGCGGCCUAUCAGCUUGUUGGUGAGGUAGUGGCUCACCAAGGCUUCGACGGGUAGCCGGCCUGAGAGGGCGACCGGCCACAUUGGGACUGAGAUACGGCCCAAACUCCUACGGGAGGCAGCAGUGGGGAAUAUUGCACAAUGGACGGAAGUCUGAUGCAGCAACGCCGCGUGCGGGAUGACGGCCUUCGGGUUGUAAACCGCUUUCAAUUGUGACGAAGCUUUUUGUGACGGUAGCAGUAGAAGAAGCACCGGCUAACUACGUG
rnacentral:rRNA from 1 species